GCAGCGCGGCAGGUGGAGCCAGGCGUCUCCCUGCGCCUAGCCAGGAACGCGCGAGGAAAGCGCCCUGCCCAACCCGAGACUGGCGGCCUCCUGGGGCUAGGCUGGAGAAAGCGCAGUGCCAGGAGUGGCCGCGGCCAGAGUCCACCGGGCAGGGGGCAGGGGCAGGGCCAGAGGACCUUGCGCUCCGGGCGCCGGGCGACACUCCAGCCCCGCGGGACCCGCCGCACAGCCUCCGAGGGUGCAGCGGCGUCUGGACACCCGGCCGGGGCCAAGAGGGAGCUUCCGGACGGGGAGGCGCCGCGAGCACUGGGCGGGCAGGGCGGGGCAGGGCAGGACGGCCGCCUCCACAAGUCCCACCCGGCACACCAGGGCCUCUGCGCUCUGCCCGGGACGCCUGCGGACCGGGCGCUCGCGGGCCGGGGCUGUAUGGGGCUCCCGCGCGGGCGGUUCUUUUGGCUGCUGCUCCUGCUCGCGGCUGCCUGCUCGGGGCUCCUCUUUGCCCUGUUCUUCUCGGCGGUGCAGCGGUACCCGGGGCCCGCGGCCGGAGCCAGGGACGCCACACCAUUUCAAGCAUUCUUUCGACCCAAAGCAUCAAAUUCUUGGACAAGAAAGGCCCAGGCCUGCCGACACCUGCUUCGCCUGGCCAUUCAGCGGGACCCCCACUUCCAUGGCCUGUUCAAUCUCUCCAUUCCAGUGCUGCUGUGGGGGGACCUCUUCACCCCAGAGCUCUGGGACCGCCUGAGCCAACACAAAGCUCCGUAUGGCUGGCGGGGGCUCUCUCGCCAAGCCAUCGCCUCCACCCUAAGCCUUCUGAAUGGCUCAGAGAGCACCAAGCUAUUUGCCCGGCCCAAGGAGCCCCCUCCAAAGUGUAUCCAGUGUGCCGUGGUGGGCAAUGGAGGCAUUCUGAAUGGGUCCCGUCAGGGCCCCAACAUCGAUGCCCAUGACUAUGUGUUCAGACUCAAUGGAGCUGUGAUCAAAGGCUUCGAGCGUGAUGUGGGCACCAAGACUUCUUUCUACGGUUUCACUGUGAACACGAUGAAGAACUCCCUCAUCUCCUACAGGAGCCUGGGCUUCUCCUCCGUGCCACAAGGACAGGACCUGCAAUAUAUCUUCAUCCCCUCAGACAUCCGCGACUAUGUGAUGCUGAGAUCGGCCAUUCUGGGCGUGCCCGUCCCUGAGGGCCUAGAUAAAGGGGACAGGCCUCACACCUAUUUCGGACCAGAAGCCUCUGCCAGUAAAUUCAAGCUGCUACAUCCGGACUUCAUCAGCUACCUGACAGAGAGGUUCUUGAAAUCAAAGUUGAUAAACACAAACUUUGGAGACCUAUAUAUGCCUAGUACUGGGGCUCUCAUGCUGCUGACAGCUUUGCACACUUGUGACCGGGUCAGUGCCUAUGGAUUCAUCACAAGCAACUACUGGAAAUUUUCUGACCACUACUUUGAGCGGAAAAAGAAGCCAUUGAUAUUCUACGCAAACCACGAUCUGUCCCUGGAGGCCGCCCUGUGGAGGGAUCUACACCAGGCUGGCAUCCUUCGGCUGUAUCAGCGCUGACACCAAGAGAUGACGUAGGUCUCACACUCCGUUGCCUGGGUUGGUCUCAAACUCCUGGCCUCAAGCAGCCCUCCUGUUUUUGGCCUCCCAAAGUGCUGGGAUUACAAAGAAGAAUGGAUCAUGGCAGAAGACAGCAAAUGAGCUGCUGCAUGCAACCUUCCUUUCUGAAAUAAUAGCAGCUGCCUAUACCAAGUGUUUACUCCGUGCCAGGUACUCUCGAAACACCUUUUGAUUCACUGUCUCAUCUGAUUCUCAUGACAGCCCUGUCAUUAUCCCCCCUACCCAACCACCCAUUUCGCAGCUGAGGAAGCCAAGGUACAGAAAUGUUAAAGGAAUUCACAGGUGAAGGCACUGAGACCUGAACUCAAUCCAGCCUAAAAGCCCAUGGUCUCAGCCACCAUGCCCUGUUUCCUACAAAAAUUACACUAUGACAGUGGAAUAUUUUUGCUUAACUCCAGAGAUUUUAAUUCAUCCCCCUAGAAAGCCCAUCAUGAAAACGUAGAGGAUUUUUUUCCUGAGAGUUCUUGGGACUGUGAAAUAGGGUCACAGAUCUUGUUCAGAUAUCUGGGAUCAUGCAGAUGACCAGGCAGAUGGAAGAAAAGUAAAAAUAUUAAAAUGAAACAUAAAACUGGGAUCACUGCAUUAAGUUUAACUUAGCUUUAACUUUCUGGAGGAGGAGAAACCUGACACAGACCCUAUGCAUUGAGAAUAGAUGACCUUGGAAUUGUGGAUCAUCUGUGCUCGCCAGCAGUGUCCAGGAAGAAAAGCAAUGCAUUUGACGUCCCUGCUUGAAAGAGUCACUGCCUCUAGAUUAUUACUCAAAAAUUGAUUUUUUUUAAAUAAAAAUAAAUGAAUUUGAAGAUGA